rnacentral:lncRNA from 1 species
UAGUCGAUAUCACAACUCUUCUGUUACGCUGUAGAGACUAAGGCAAUUUUUAUUUUUUCUUUUCUUUCUUUCGUUGAUUUGUAUGCCACACACUCGCUCACAAGGCGAGCCGUUUUACUUACGAAUCAACGACAUCAAACUAUAUCUCCGAGUCUUACAACGAAUUCGGGAAUAUCGUGUUGCAAACAGUAUCCCUCCUAUCGAAGUGCCCGACCUCAAAAAUCU